rnacentral:rRNA from 1 species
GACGAACCGUACAAACGUUAUUCGGAAUUACUGGGCUUAAAGGGUGCGUAGGCGGCGGUGCAAGUUGGGUGUGAAAUCCCUCGGCUCAACCGAGGAACUGCGUCCGAUACUGGAUGGCUAGAGUGUGGGAGAGGGAUGCGGAAUUCCAGGUGUAGCGGUGAAAUGCGUAGAUAUCUGGAGGAACACCGGUGGCGAAGGCGGCAUCCUGGACCACGACUGACGCUGAGGAGCGAAAGCCAGGGGAGCAAAGCGGG